CACAGUAGGAGCUACAGCGGACAGCAGACCGAGCGGGUUUAGAAAGUAAAAGCUUUUUGCCCUUUAUCUACACAGUUUCUGUUCAUGUCACCUGGAGAGAAACAGUAUCAUGGGAGAUAUCUGAAAUGGAAUGUAUUUCAGGCAAUUUGGGAAUACAAGAUUUAAUAGUGUUUCGCUGUGAUUUUGCACUACAGGAAGCCCACUCUUUACAAAAUGGGGGUGAAAGAUUGCCCUCAGUGCUAUUUUGAUGUGGAGAUCAAUAGAGAACUAGUUGGACGAAUUGUCUGUCAAUUGUUCUCCGAUGUUUGUCCCAAGACAAGCAAAAAUUUUCUUUGCCUGUGCACUGG